rnacentral:rRNA from 1 species
CCACGCCGUAAACGAUGAGUGCUAGGUGUCGGGGGUCAAACCUCGGUGCCGACGUUAACACAUUAAGCACUCCGCCUGGGGAGUACGUGCGCAAGCAUGAAACUCAAAGGAAUUGACGGGGGCCCGCACAAGCAGUGGAUUAUGUGGUUUAAUUCGAAGCUACGCGAAGAACCUUACCAGGUCUUGACAUCGAGUGACGAGCAAAGAGAUUUGCUUUUCCUUCGGGACACGAAGACAGGUGGUGCAUGGUUGU